GUCUAAACCUAACGCGGGUCUCCACCAGACUCCACGAGGCCACGACGCCUUCCCUCUUUGCCGCCGCCGCCGCCUCCUCCUCCUCCUCUCUUCCCUCGUUCUCCAGCCGCCGCCACUACCCUCGAUCCUUCCUCCUCGGCUCUACCCACCCCAUCCUCUGUCCUCUCUCCACUCCUCCUCCUCUCACAGGCCCUGCCGCCGCACAUCACUGCUUCCCGUUGACGGUGAAGGCCCUGCAGAUCCAGCCAGGAGGAGGCAGGUGACUCGAGCAGGGCUGGUCGCCACCGAUGCGCCCACUCCGUCGUCACGGGUUGUCGCCAUGCUCCCCUCCUCUACACGUCAUCGCCUGAAGGUCACUGUUGCCGCCGCCGAUUUACUCCCCAUUCCUCUCCACCAUCGGUGUCCAUUGUGUCCGUCUCCAGGGAUCCAACUAUGGCCGUCGCUUUGUUUCCUUCCUUUUCUGAUCAUCUCGUCCACAACGCAGCGGUGGCCGCGGUGCGGACAAUCGGCGGAAAUAGGUAGGAAAGGCCCGACAGUGGUGCCACGCGGGAUGAAGCAACGGCGGCACAGGAGCUUCCCGGCGCAGGCUUUGCACUACAGAGCAGUUGGUGGUAGGAAGGACAUAGUUCGCCAAGAACUUAUGGUUAGGUGUACGGCGAGAGGAGGAGGAGGAAGCACUUCUUUGACAAGAUCCAUAGCUCUCCACCUCUGUAUUUCCAAUGUAUAUAUCUCAGAUCGGCGUGUCAUGGGAGCGGAUACGGCGGCAGACACAAGUAGAGCAAAGCGAAGCCAGCGCGAUGGCCAGGCCCUCCAAGCACACAGCCACUGCCUCCUCGCCAAGAUACGCUAGCCUGCAUCUACAAGGAAAAAAAGGAACUUGCCCGUAUGGUGUUCACUAAAAAGAAGAAUCUGGUAAAAGAUUGGAUGUGGGCUGUACGUGGACAUGAACUUGUUCCUGGGAUUCAGAAGGGAGGACUUGCCAUGGAACUUCGAGAAGACGGAGAACCAUGUGCACCUCCAUGUCGUGCUUUGGCAGAAGCCGGAUGCCGACGAGUCAGAACGCCUGCUGAAGAAGCCACUCUGCUCACCAUUGGCGCUUUCCAUGGGAAGUCAUAGCAAUGGAAACGGAGUUGUAGCUCUUCUGAAAAUUGCAAGGAUCUUUUCACACAUCUAUUCAAGCCCUAAGACCAGAAGCAAGUUUAAUCUUCUCUUUGGAUUAACAUCUGGCUGACCCUACAAUUAAAAUGGAACUAGCAAGGUUAUCAAUUUUUGUUACAGUGGCUUGAAGUUUUGACCAACAUGUGUGUGAUAUUAUUGACUAUGCAAUUUACUUGAAUAUCAUUGGUUCCUGGAGCAAUGAUCUCUGGAUGCAUGUAUCAAAGCCUCCAGAGAAGCCUUACAUCAAGCAAAUCUUUGAGGAUUUUUCGGAUGUCUCCAAGGAAAUGGGCAUUUCAGUCGCACAAGAAGAUUAAUGUGUCAAAUUCUAGAACUGCAUGCUGAACAAGCUUCAGAUUGAGGAGAGCUUGGUCCCCAAGAUGUGCCUAAAUUUGUACAGGGAAUAAGGAACUACAAUGGCCGGUCUGAAGCUUAUGGGCUAUGAUUUCGACUACGAGGAAUUCCACGCCAGCAUGCACGGUAAAUUGCCAUAUGAGAAGUUGAAGCCGGACCCUGUCCUGAGGAACCUACUGCUUUCGAUGCCUCAAAAUCCCUCUGAUGUUUCUUGCUACAUCACAUCAGCAAGGGGUCUGUGACAGUUAAAUGCUUCAGCAGUUACAGCUUGUCGUUGCACCGUAGAUAUUCACCAACUCUGAUGAGGGUCACGCAGCCGCCCUCCUCUUGGUUAACUCUGACAUUCAUUGUGCCAUUUAUAUCAAAAUAUUGCAUGAGUUUUUGUUGGUUGUUCAGGGACUAAGCUUAUCUCGGUUACUGUGAAUUUUAAUUGUACUCUGGGUCAAGUGAUUUUUUGAUAUGGUAACUAAUUUCUUGUUCUUUUUGCCAAAUUCUAAUUUAAAAACAAAACAGUAAGAAAUCAUGCAUGAUGUUUCAAGUAAAGUAAACAAAUAAAUGCAGCCUCGACUGCUGAUCUACUCCCUCCGUUCCAAAUUACUCAUCGCAAAAAUGGAUGUAUCUAGAACUAAAAUACAUCUAGAUACAUCCAUUUCUGUGAUGAGUAAUUCGGAAUGGAGGGAGUAUGAAAUAGAUGCCACCAGGAAGGUGAUGCCUUCAAUUCAUCAUGUUCUUUGCCUGCCUAAUUUUCCUCUCAUCCUCUUUUGUUGUAUUCACAGUGUUUGUUUUUUUCUGGACAAAGGUUGUGCAUCUUUGCAGGAGGAUUAUCAGGCCUGAGUGACAUUUUUGAAAAAAAAAUCGUUCAAAGCUUGGUGUUCAUUGCUGUUAUUGUUCCUAAUUUGAAGGGGACUGAGAUAUCUACCUAGGAAAUUCAAGUUGUGUUAUCUUCAAAUGAUCGGACAUCUGAAAUAAAUUAGAUAUUAGUAGGCAAUACUGAUGAAGCCCAGUCGUAUGAGCCGAGGGCUCAGACCGUCUCGCCGCACUGGAUCUGAUCUUACAUGCCAAGCACUUGAGCAGAGGCUGAUCAUUUAGUGUUGUGACAGUAAUAAGAGUUGUCCGGAUUUCUUCUUUCCUGUACUAUAAAUACAAGAGACAUAUGUGCUACACUACUUUUGGACAAACUGUAAUGGGUGGUCCUCGUUACAUGUACAACCAGUAUAAUGGAUCUGAGCUCAUAAUUUCUCGGCU